UCAUCACAUGAUGAUUUCCUUCAUAUACUAUUGGCACCUCUUAUGCUAGAGCCUUCGGGCUUCGAUGAUCUAUAUGGACUUCUGAAG
rfam:Dothistroma septosporum NZE10 unplaced genomic scaffold DOTSEscaffold_5, whole genome shotgun sequence.